GUGAAUCAUCAAAUCUUUGAACGCAAAUUGCACUCUCUUCGGAGAGUAUGCCUGUUUGAGGGUCGGCCUAAAAAAUCGACGUAGUCGCUGUUUCGCGGUGACAUUCGUCGGACAUUGGGUCAUCUUAAACCUUUGGGUUUUUUAAGCGGCCCAAAAUUUUCCUUUCGAUUCCACGAACGUUUCUAAGAUUUUACUUCUUACACACGAUUAAGGUAUCAAUCUUUAUUAGACCUGGCCGUUUCAUCGGAUCG
rnacentral:misc_RNA from 1 species